rnacentral:rRNA from 1 species
CCUACGGGAGGCAGCAGUGAGGAAUAUUGGUCAAUGGGCGCGAGCCUGAACCAGCCAUGCCGCGUGCAGGAUGACUGCUCUACGAGUUGUAAACUUCUUUUGUACGAGAAUAAACUGAGACACGCGUGCCUUUUUGUAAGUACCUUAUGAAUAAGGAUCGGCUAACUCCGUGCCAGCAGCCGCGGUAAUACGGAGGAUUCGAGCGUUAUCCGGAUUUAUUGGGUUUAAAGGGUGCGUAGGCGGGUUGAUAAGUCAGUUGUGAAAGCUUGAGGCUCAACGUUAGAAUUGCCAUUGAUACUGUCAGGCUUGAGAAUAGUUGAGGUAGGCGGAAUGCAUGGUGUAGCGGUGAAAUGCUUAGAGAUCACGAAGAACUCCGAUUGCGAAGGCAGCUUACUAAGCUGCCUCUGACAUUGAGGCACGAAAGUGUGGGGAUCAAACAGGAUUAGAUACCCUAGUAGUC